AAUAAGCUUAACAUAGGUACCGUACUUUACGAUUUUCUGUUAUAAAAAAAGAAUCACCUUUUAAAAUGCUUUCAGUAUUCAAAAUGCCUACACGAUGGAAACAUCAAUUUACUUCAAUGAUUUGUGGUCCAACUGGUUGUGGAAAAACAGUUUUUGUUAUGUAGAGUACGGAAAAUCUAUAGCGUGUGAUGGCCGAUGGAAAAAUUCCAAUUUUGCUAAAUUUUUCCAGUAAAUGUUGAAGUCCAUCCCUGAUCACCUGAAGGAAACAUUAUAGGAUAAGUCAUAGGGUCAACAUUCGCACUGAGGCUGGAAAUUGGAAUACGUUUGGAAUCUUUAGGAUGUAUACAUAUAUCGCGUUCAAUAGGAGGUUCACCAUCUUCGCUAAUAAAUACAAUUGCUACUUCAUUACAAGAUGGAACAUUAAACUUGUUUUGAUCUAAUAACCUGUCGCGUUUAAUCCACAUUUCAAUAUUUCUUAUUUGAUGAUUUAGCUUGUUCUUCUUUUUAAUCGCAAA